rnacentral:lncRNA from 1 species
UUUCUCAUUCUUUCCAAAAACCUCCGGUUGCUUCUCACAAGCAUUCCCACCCCACCGCUUCUCUUUGCUCCGCCUCCCAUUGACGUCUAACAAAUUAUCCCUUCAUAUUCUUACCCAUCAAUGUAGGUGAAAUCCCUAGCGAUAGUUCCAUGAUUAGGCCCUUCAAAGAUAGAAAUCUACUUUCGAUUGAAAGAUAGAAAUCUACUUUGGUGAAAAAGAAAUAUGCCAUGUUAGGUCUACCCGAAGGUCCAUAAACAGUGAAAAAUCGCAAACCAGUAAUUGAUAGAUCGUAGAUAUGAGUGUAAGCAUGAGCGAUUUUUUCACCGGAUUUCUUUGUGGCGGCGUAAAGGGUCACCGGUUGAUCGGUUCGAUCGAAGAGAGAGAGAGAGAGAGACGACGACGAAGAGGGUGAGGUCGAUUUAUUCGACUGAUACCGAUUGCGCUUUACAGGUUCGUUUUUUCUUCAAUUCUACUUUUGUUUUACUAUACGUUUCCGAUUGACGCCUGUUUUGAUUCCCGCUGCUUAUUUUUCAGAUUUUGUGAUUGAUUUGUUUGUCUCUGGUGAGCCGGAUCUUCCACCGCCUCCGAUUCAAGUAUCAAAUCCACCCAAAGAUGUUCUAUUUUUCGAUCACCUGCACAACAACUGCACAACAACUGAGGGUCACUUAAGUUAUAGCUAUGUCAUAAUUAAAGGUCAUUACUGCUCAUAAUUAUAUUUCCAUCUUAAAGUAUAAUUUUCCCAUUUGAUUUUAAUUUCUUAUUUCCAUGAGGUAAAUUAAAGGUUGUGCCAUUGUUAAAUGCAGGUAUCUCUUAUUCCCUCUAUCAAAUUCCAUUCACAAAUUUAGGAUUUUUUUUUCAUAUAUUAAUAUGGAUAACUUGAUCGUUUUGUUUAUUAUCCUGGGUAUUUGUGUUUGUGAAUUUAUUAUUCGGAUGAGGUUAAAGGUAGUCUUUUGCACUUCUUAUUUUCCAUUUUAUAUUAAGAAGAAUUUGUUAACUAACAAGUGAUGUGGAAAUACAUCUAAUCAGUCAACUUAUAAUAUUUUCUGCCUUUCUUUAGUUCAUGAAUUGGCUCUGUGAAAUUGGAGCUGGCGUCUGUGACAUGAUGAAUGGGUGCUUAUUUAGCAUGUUGAAUGUUGGAUUUUGUCCUGGCAAUGGGAGCUUUUAUAGAACCAGCAGGAUGGUAGUAGCAGCCAUGUUCAACUCUUUAAGGUUAGUUGUCUUUCCAAGGAUUAAAUACAAUGUACUUUUAUUUUAUUUGUGCAUUAUGUCAUUUUGUUUUCAUUCAUCUCUAUGCCUAAAUUCACUGUACAUUUAUAGCUUUUGUUACUAAAGCAUUGUAUUGUGAAAAAUAUACAAAUUAUAGCAUUGUACUUUCAACCUUUUUCUUAUUACAACAUUCUACAGUGAUUGUUUAGCCAAUUAUUUUUUUCGCUUUAGUUACUUGAAACUUUUUUUUUUUCUGUAACGAUUAAACCGUUAUAGUUUUUUGACCAUUUUUUGGACUAUUUGUUUUUUGAUAUAAUUUCAAAAUGUAAAAAAACACAGCUUACUUUUACCGUUUGUCAAUCUACCUAUUGUGAAUUACUCUUCUUAUCGAUUUAUUCUAAACUAUUAUUUUUUUUCUCCAUUGAGCCUCAUAACUGUUUUCUGUAGUGAUUAAUCCAAUAUUCUCUGCUGACUAUAUAAUAAACCCGUUUAUUGUUGCUGUGCGGUUUUGAUAUCGGUUUACCUGUUGUGCUAUUUUUUUAAACAAUUUAGCCACUAAACUGUUGCUCUUUUGCUGUGGAAAUGGUUUUCCAAGAUUUCUAACACGAAACUUUAAAAAACAUGAUUUUUUUUUAAUUUCUUCGCAAGUAAAAUUUGAUUUUCACAGGUAAAACCUGUGAAAAUCUUGGGAAGUGGAUAACUGGAUUAGCAUGAUUUGUCUUUUUCUCUCUUAUUUAUCAUUUUAGGUUUUUAACUACUUAACUAUUUUAUGUAGUGAUUAAAAUACUAUUCUUCUUUUGACCAUUUAGAAUAACCAUCCAUUUUCAAAUUUAGUUUCUGAAGUCGUAAUGAUCCUAUUUGAAAAGGCAACUUAUCAUUCAUACUUUACCAUAAGGUUGAUUCCAUAUAUUUAUAUAAGGGUAACCUGGUCAUUUGGCAGGAAAAGGGUCCAUGGGAGAUGGAUGCUCAUGAAAGAGUCGAAGCAGCUGGGAAGAAGAAAGAAGAAGGAAAUAUUCUUUGUAGGUGCUUUCAAUUCACCAAUUUGUUUUACCGUUGAAAGUUUCUUGCUGUUUUGGAAUAAUUUCAAUUGUUGAACUUUUAUUUCUGGCUUGAGCGCUGAUGUCCUUAUUAGUGGUUGUAUAAUUGUAUUGGGGUGCUGAUAUUUUGAGCCUCCUUAUUUGAUCU